rnacentral:rRNA from 1 species
AUUGAACGCUGGCGGCAGGCCUAACACAUGCAAGUCGAACGGUAGCACAGGAGAGCUUGCUCUCUGGGUGACGAGUGGCGGACGGGCGAGUAAUGCAUGGGGAGCUGCCCAAUCGAGGGGGGAUACCAGCUGGAAACGGCUGCUAAUACCGCAUACGCCCUGAGGGGGAAAGGUGGGGACCUUCGGGCCUACCGCGAUUGGAUGCACCCAUGUGGGAUUAGCUAGUUGGUGAGGUAACGGCUCACCAAGGCGACGAUCUCUAGCUGGUCUGAGAGGAUGACCAGCCACACUGGAACUGAGACACGGUCCAGACUCCUACGGGAGGCAGCAGUGGGGAAUAUUGCACAAUGGGGGAAACCCUGAUGCAGCCAUGCCGCGUGUGUGAAGAAGGCCUGGUUGUAAGCACUUCUAGUGGGGAGGGAAGGGGUAGGAGU